CUGACACUGACACUGGGGAUUCGAUUACUAUCACCAUCUAUAUACAUGCGAGAGAGUGCUCAUGUCUCUCAAAUUGUUUCUCACAUAAGCUCAAAAACCUUUCACAACUCUGAGCAGCCACCUCUCUUGCUUGCUCUCUUUCGGGAAAAAAGGACUGAUAUAGACAACAUAUCAUCAGGACAAUGAUAUCCCUUCAGUGGCUCCCCAAUAUAUAUGAUCAGAUAUCACCGCAGCGUGCUUUUCUGUUUAGUUUUGCAUAAAAAUUCUUCAAACGUUUGCGGGAUCUCCUAGACAGCUUAUCAGCUUUCCAUUCUACAACACCCUAUCUAUUAGCCUAUUUGCCAAUACCCAGCACAUAUCCUUUUCUAUAUCCUAUCUAUAUUCUGCUAGGCGUUUCCCAACUUCUCCCGGGUGUCCGCCCCCUUUUCCCUCUUGGAAACAAAUUCCUCGAUGGCUGGAAAUGGAAAUAGCGCUCGCCUACGUCCCCUCUUGAGGAUUUUCUUCCUCUUCCUUCGAUCUAUUACCCAUCUCCACUGUUGAACUGUACCACCUUCUCUCCGUAGCCUACGUCUAAGUUUAUCCCUGAAACUUCCGCCUACGGAUAAUAGCUAUCAUCCCCAUGAUAAUAGAGCACAAAAUACCUUUCUUUUCCGGCCGAUAUCUGUCGUGCCCUUCAACCCC
rnacentral:sRNA from 1 species